AGCCUCAGCUGCUGGUUCUCUCGGUUCAGAUCGUCUCUCUGUCUCCUCAGAGCUUCUCGCUGCAGCACACAAGUGUUGAUGCUCCUCGUCACCUGCUGCAACUCUGAGAACUCCUGCAGACACAGAGGAGGAAAGCUCCUCUGAGCUCACAGGUGAAAGGUUGUACCUACAAGCAGGAUGAGUGACAUCACAACUAGUCUGGAGCCAAUCACGGUCCAGUAUUAAACUUU